AGUGUGGUAGCUUCUUAAUUGAAGCGCUCUUUAAGUAGAGGGAUAAACCGUGGGUUCGAAUCCCACUCACACUA
rnacentral:tRNA from 2 species